UCCUGAGGGGUGUUUCCAUUGGGGGGGUGGGUGUCCAUGCACAGUCUAACACUGUCCAGUCAAUGCAGCCAGUGUCAGACCGUGCAGGGACACACCCCAACUGCUAACAC